UUUAGAAUUUUUUAUACAAUGGGUCAUGAAGUAGGACUAAGAAGAUAAUGGUCAAGGGCUAUGCUCCCACAACUUGCUUUUAGUUGAAGUUAAGGACAAACACAGUGCAAAGCCUCUAGUAUGCACUUCUGAUCACUUUUAUUUUUCACCAAAGAAUAGGAUAAAGUCUUGCAUUGUAAGGAAUAUGUACAUUGAAAGUAGCAUGUGGUUAGACAAGGCAAUUCAAAGAUUUGACAUGGGAGUGCCAGGCAAGGUUUGCUCAUUCAGUUAAAAUUCUGCUUCAUCUUAGGCAAGUUCUUUGUGAAUCCCCACACUGAAGUACUUUUGGUUGUGGACCAAGAUCUCUCUGUCUUCUUGCAGGUUUUAGAUGAAUAGUGAAGUUAGAAUUGUACAGAAAGUCUUGAAGGGCAUCAGUGGAAGGUUGACUGUCAAGGAGUUCACAUAAGAUUCUUGCUUUUAUGGGUAGUGAGUGAUUAGUCGGCAGUAGGUUAGCCAGAUUUGUGGUGUUUUGAAUGAGUCUUGGACACAUCAUAUCAGCAAAGUGGCUGAGAGGAGUUAGUGCAAAUUCCCUAAUCGUGAGCUGAUUAAGCAAUCGUCCUAUCUUUUCUCAGAAGAGAAGCAGUGGGAUUUGUACUUCUGCACCUUUUGAAAUUCUAAAGGGCUAAAACAGAGCAUGUGGUUCUGAUAUCAUACCCAAUUAAGGGAGGUAUGAAUGAACACUUAAAUGCCAAUUAGCUUGAAUAUAUGCAUGGCUUUUUCAGAAUGUAAAAACAUAAAAGCUUCAGAUAAUCUGACCUGUGGUACUCUUUAAUCUGAAUAGUCCUGAAAUCUGCUCUCAUCAGAUACGAUUACAGCUGCUAGUGUCUGGUUUGUUGCUUUUGCUUGUUUGACCUUCACUCUUCUAAUUUCAGCAAGCAGCUGAGAUCUGACUUGGACUAUGCUUGUACAGCUGUAGCCAGGUUCACAUGAUCCCUUGGGUUUUACUGGAUGGCUCUGUCUAAUCAUAUGACCGAGUCCUUUAGUCUUUACCCAGAUUUUUGCUGUUUCCAUCAGAAUUUUAUUACCUUUACUCACAUUAUUUUUAUUGGAAUGUAUUUACUCUGAUCUGCUCAUUUGUUUUGAUUCUAUUUUAGACUAUUCUGGCAAGUGUUAUUCAUAAACAGACUGAAAUAAAGGGUGCUGAACACCUGUGGGGCAGCUUUGUGAGGUGUUUCUUUCUUUGUAUUGUGAUAGCACAGGUUCAAGGCAAGUAUCAAAAAAGGAAAAAUGUGUUUUUACUGGUAGGGAAAAUAAUGCACCACAGGGUUUUCAGAACAAAACACUUUCAGGUGAAAAGAAGAGAGUAGGAAGUGAUUACUUCAAGCACAGAAAAUCCUUUAAUUCAUGUUGAUCAAAUUAAGCUAUGCUCACAUGUUUCCAGGAACUUCUUAGUGGUUCUCCUCAGGUCUUUGUUAAUACAGUAAUCAUGGAUAGUAACAAUGACUAAGAAGUAAACAGUCACAUUAAGACAUGACACUGUGUUGUGAACUGCAAUAAGUAAUAUCUGGCAUUGCAGUAUAACAUACCUUUGAUAACACCACCUAAUUGUUUUAACUGCCUAUUUUAAUAAUUGAUGUAUUGUAUAUCUGCUGUAAAUUGAGAUAGGUCAGAGGUGGGCUUCUUGAUAAUGUGCAUUGCUAUAAUGAAAAAGCUCCAAAAGAUGUUCCAUUCCAGAGAGUAUUUACAGUGAAAUUACUCUUAGAAUAGCCCAGGAAGUGAGCUUUGUCAGAAGACCAGGGACCCCUGUAUCUCCCAUUAUCUACAUUCACAAGAUAAAAUCUGUAAAAGGGUGCAGGAGAACUUAGGUGUAUUGUAUCAUAAAGACAAUCAGAUGGAGACUGGAUGAUUUGUCCAAAUGUUAUUUUUGCUCUGGUUUUGGUAAGGAGGGCUUCUCCAUUUGCUGCCUAAAAAUGUCUUUAUUUUGAAUCAUGCUUGGAAAUAGGGCAGUUAUCAUAGAAUUAUAGAAUACUUCAGGUAGAAAGGGACUUUAAAAGUCACCUAGUCAGUCCAGCCCCCUCCACAGUAAGCAGGAACAUCUCCAACUAGAUCAGGUUGCUCCAAGCCCUGUCCAGCAUGACCUUGAAUGUUUCCACAGAUGAGACAUCCAUAACCUCUCUGAGCAACCUGUUCCAGUGUUUUAGCCCUCCUGGUAAAAAUACUUUCCUUAUAUCUAGACUAAAUCUACACUCAUUUGGUUUAGAACCAUCACCUCUUGUCUUAUCUCAACAGGCUCUGCUAAAAAGUCUGUCACCAUCAUUCUUGUUAGUCCCCUUUAGGUACUGGAAGGCUGCUAAAAGGUCACCCUGGAGACUUCUUUCAGGCUGAACAACCAUAGUUCUCUCAGCCUUUCCUCACAGGAAAGAUGCUCCAGCCCUCUGAUCAUGUUCAAGGCCUUUCUCUGGACCAGUUCCAGCAGCUCCAUGUCCUUCCUGUGCUGGACCCGAGAUCUGGAUGCUGCACUGCAGUGGGGUCUCACCAGAGCAGAGCUGAGGGACAGAAUCCCCUCCCUCCCCUGCUGCCCAUGGUGCUCUGGACACAGCCAGUGAAAAAGUGUAUAUUUGUGAAUACCUUUUCUAAUUUACAAACCACUCUAUUGACGGAAUGAUUGCACUUCUUUAAUUUGCAUGCAAGUGAAGUAAAAUCAAUUUAUUGGCACCUGCAGAAUGGUGACUUCGCAGGAGAAUUUUUAGAAGCCUCCAUGAUCUAUUGCUAGUUUUGAACAUUAAGAAACUAAAGUUACAGCAGCCUACUGCAUGCCAUCUAUCCACCUCCCUUCUAGCUGCUCUCAAUUAUGAUGACUUGUCACUAUUCACUCCAUAAUUACAUUCUCAAGGUUAUUUCCAUCUCUGCUCCUGAUGUGUCCAAAGCACAUACAUUUACACCUAUUUCUGACAACCAAGUCUACUUUUCUCCAAUAAUAUAUUUAAUAUGUGCAUUUAUCAUUUUUCUGUCCAGAAGAUACGUAAGUCUUUGCUUGCACCAGACUGCGAAAGCUUCAAUUUUCUUUGUCACAAUCAAUAAUUUCUCAAAAGUCACAUUCAUAAGUUGCUACAGCAAAAAAUUAGGCAUAUCACCAGUCAAAUCUUUCUACUUUCAUGGUGAUUUUUUUUUCCAGGAUUUUAUAAGGGAAGCCAUGGAUGGAUCAACUAUUCUUCAAAAUAUUCCAGUUUCUAUUAGACAGGUUCUGAUUGAGUAAAUUUGAUUCCAGAUUUGUUCCUUGACCUGCUGCUGGGUAUGGCAAAUGGGAACUCAGGAAAAGGUAUGAAUGAACAGAAGAAAUGGGAUGAGCAAAGAUGAGCACAUGUAGUAGAAAAUCUGCAGCUGGCUGGGCAGUAGGAGUUUCAUGUGAGCAAACAAAAAAUGCAGAGAUAGAACGUGAAAUAAACAGUACACAGUGAAUUGUAAGUAUCUUUUAAAUAUUAUUUGUGAUCUGUAAGUACAAUUUUGCCAAAUUCAAGAUGAACUGGAGAAGCCAAAUUCUGAAAACAAUAUAAUUAAAUGUUCUGUUAUAGAUCCUAAAAUGAGUUAUACCUACAGUUCUAUUUACUUAAUAUAAAGGCUCCUUUCAAUUUUUAUUUUGGCUUUCCAUAUUUAGCAGCUACUAUAAUAAUCUCUUUGGAAACUAGCUGAACAAACUUGCAAGAAGAUUUUUAAAAACACAGCAUACUAUUAAAAUUCAAAGUUAAAAAGACUUGUGGAUUUCUUUUGCCCCCUGUUUACAUGUGAAGGGGAGUUUAAGGUCAGCUGGAGAGCUACAUCAAAAUAUAAUGUGAGCUUUUAUUUGUGUGUAUACAUCCUGCUUAUUUUGACGCUGCAUAGUUAGUCUUCUUGCUGAGACCUGGGAAGAAUAUAUGUGUGAUAGUGACUGCAGUCACUAAAGCAGUGAACCUGACAGUGUAGAGUUUUGAAAAAUAAAUGAAACAAGCUUGAAUUAUGGAAAUGGUUUUUUUCUAUUUCAUCCCAUUAAUGGGUAUAAACAUAAUUUAGACACUGAUUUACUUGUAUGUGCCUUUUAUAAUUGCUGAAUUUGAAAAGUACAUGUAUAGCCAGAAACAACUAAAAAAGUCCAAAAACAUGUGUCUUUAAGAGUUGUCAAAGUCACAAACUGCAUAACACUGCUGAGGAAAAUAAUUACUGACACUUGUAUGGCUGUUGUGCUUUAACCCAGCCAGCAACCAAGUCCCAUGCAGCCACUCAAUCAUCCUCUCACAGUGGUAUGGGAAAGAGAAUUGGAUGGGUAAAAGUGAGAAAACUCAUGGGUUGGGAUAAAGACAGUUUAUUACGUAAAGCAAAAGCCUCACACACAAGCAAAGAAAACCAGGGAAUCCAUUGACCACUUCCCAUGGGCAGAUAGGUGUUCAGCCAUCCCUAGGAAAUCAAGGCUUCAUCACGUAUAUUUGGAAAGUACAAAUGCCAUCACUCAAAAUGUCCCCCCCCUUUUUUUUAUUCUUCCCCCAGCUUUAAAUACUGAGAAUAACACUGUAUGGUCUGGAAAAUCCCUUUGGUCAAUUGGGGUCAGCUGUUCCAGCUGCAUCCCUUCCCAACACCUUGUGCACCUCCAGCCUUCUCACAGAUGUCUUGACACUGUGUAAGGGCUGCUCAGCAAUAACAAAAACAUCUCUGUUGUAUUAUCAACCCUGCUUUCAGCACAAAUCCAAAAUAUAGCCCCAUGCCAGCCACUGUGAAGAAAACAAACUCUACCCCAUGCAAACAAAUUGGCAAUUUGUUCUGCUGAUUAUUAAACCUUUUAAUUUUCUACUUUUCUGCCAUGUAGUAUAUUUAAUUUAUAUUUUGUUCAUGAAAAAUAGGCAAGUUCAGAACAAAAACUGACACAAAGAUAAAUCUCUUAAAUCACUUAAGUUUUAAGGUACACAUUUUUGUCUCCUAACCAUCACCACUGUACAGAAGAAAUACCGACUCAGAAAUUGAAGAACUACACAGGAAAUAUUAACUACUCCCACCUUUUAAGUUAGUGUGUUCAUUCUUCCAGGUUUUGGGGAACGUAAUCAGAGGAAUAAAGCGGUUGAAAGACUUCAGUGUUUGAUCAUCUACUUGAAAAAAACUUAAACAUGUUUUCAUGCUGGUUGUAUCAACUGUUUUUGUUUGGGGUUGGUUUGUUUGUCUGGGUUUUUAAUAAGUUGUCUAUUACAGAUGGGCCUAGAUCCAAAUGACACCGCCUCUGCUCCAUCCUGAAUUGUGUAUAUCAGGUUGCAGAUAUCAAUCUGAAUGUCAUGAGCUAGAGCAGGGUGGAGUGGAGCUUGUCUUAAGAUAUGAUUCCCUCAUUCUUUGAACUUGGAAUUGUCAUGAAUUUGACAGGUACAAGCUAACUAAUUUUUGCCCAGUCCUUAAAUAAAUUGGAAACUGUAGACUCUCCCAUUAGAAGGAGUAACUGUCCUUUUAUGUCGCUGAAACUGUAAGAUGGUCCUCAGCUGCCUGUGGCUUUCUAAAUUUGAGUUUCUUUUGUUGCUGGUGUUAUUCACUGGGAAAGAAUGUGGCCUCGUUUCCAGUGAGAGAGGGUAUGAAAUGUUAAAAAACAGAAGUGAUAGGUGAAUUUUAAAGGGACUAAAAAAACCCCAAAAGAGGUCAGAAUUUACAGGAAAGCAAAAGAAGGCCUUCCGCAUUCAGCAACAAGCAAAUAGCGAUCUAUUCAUUUCCUAUAUAAAUAAUUAGAUUCUAUCAUGUGACAGUUACAAAGAAGCACAUACUAAACACAGGAUUUUCUUUAAAAAUUGUAGUCUACACAGCUGUUUUUAAAUGCACAUCACUCACUUGUUGCUCCCUCCCCCCACCUCCUUGGCUUCUUGUUUCAGCAUAAGACAUCUGGCAUACAAGUUAUUCAAGUUCAGAAACUAGUUACUGAAAUCUAAUUAAUAAAUGAGUGCUAAUGGGUUAAGACCGUAACAAGUUCCCUAAUUUAUUUUUACAAGCAGUUGCAGUAAUCCACAAAUGUUUGUGACAGAUGUCAAACACAAGGAUUGCUGUAACUAGCAGCUUUUGUGUAGCAAAUGGUAAGUGAGGAAAACUGACACUAAGCAGGAUACCUGCAAGAUUUUUUUAUAUUGUAGAAUUUUGAAGCCAUUCAGUUGUGAUAUCAGAAAAUUUUGUAAAAUAUUCAUAUCUCAAUAGGACAUGUGCAUACCUGUACUUGAGAAUAAGGCCUUUAUGAAACUAUUUUUAGAAAGAAAUAACAUAGAUUUUUAUAUUGUUUUAAUCUUAUAUUAAUUGAAGGUCAAUCACUGUGAGGCAAACAGGUUCAUAAAUCACUUGUGAUUGGCAAGCAAUUAACUUCUGGUAAAUUAAUUGCACAGGCAAUGGAGUACAGUCUGUCUUAAUAGGUAAAAGCAUUUUUUCAUUAGAGUAACAUUAGUAAAUGAUUGAAACUUGCCUAAGAUCCAGGUUUGCAUGUAAUAUUAGAUCUACUUAGAAACUCCAUCCUGCAACAAGGCCUGACAUUUUAACAUUUAAAAUUUCUGAAUCAGAGCAAACAAGACAUCUUGAAAUUUCCAGUAGAAUGAAAGUACUGUUUUUUAUUUGGAAUCACUGAAGAGUUUUAAUGACUUUUUCCCAGAAUUUAAUAAGGGUAAAUGGACUGAUAAUAUCACAAAACCCAUAAAAUACAAAAAUACAUAAACUAAAUUUUACUUAUAGUAUUACAUAAAAGUAUACUUCUAGUAUAUUAGACUAUAGUAUAUUAUAUGUAGUGUUUUGUAUAGUAUAUUAUAAUACUAAUAGUAUUACAUAUAGUUGAAAGAAAAAAACUGAUAGCUUUUUUGCCCCUUUUCUUUCAAAUUUUAAAUGGUUAGUUCAAAGUGUUUAUUUCUGCAUCUCAGUAUGAUGUGGCCACAUUAAGUAAACUUGGGAAUUAAUAUAUUUGAGGAAAAGCAAAAUAUUUAUUUCAGGAGAUAUAGAGUACCUUAAAGUGAUAAAAUCCUAAUAUGAGCAAGGUAGUUUGUAGUUAUUACUUGCUAUCUUGAUGAAGGUAAACAGGUAGGAGCGUAAAAAUAUUUUAACCAUCUAAUACAUAUAAUGAGAUAUUGUUCUAACUAAAGGAAACAAACUUCUUUUCCUUUCUGCCUUAGUGAAGACUAAGUCCAACAUGGAAUUGUUUGGAAUGAGUUGCUAUCACUUAUGCUAGGGAUUUGGCUCUUAGUAAGACAUCUCAGGAGAAGCUGAGCUGCCCAAGAACAUAAAAUGCUGAGGUGUGACUGCAAAUUCUUGAAUUAUUUUAGUUCUGUCUUACUGUAGAAUAUUUUAGUUCAGUUCAAAAUCAGUGACAUUUCUUCUGCAACUGUGCCUGUCCUCUUAACAGCUGCCUAAAGGCAGAUACCUUGCAGAGUGGAAACCUGGAGAUUUUCUGUCCUGGGGCAGUAUUGUUCUUACAGCUCUGGCUUUACGAAUGAAUGGAGGCCAUUACUGAUACUGUUCCAUGGAAAUGUCCUCUAUCUUAAUCAGCAGACAAUAACUGUUUUGUAAAAAACAAUAAGUAAACUUUCACAUCCCAGUCAAAUUCCAGUUUAGACAACAGCACCCUGCUGACAAAGUUCCUGCCACUUCAGAUGGAUAGUAACUGCCUAUUAACCUACUCUAUGUUACUACAUGGCAUAGUUAAGCAGCUGUUGCAUUUUGUUUGAUGUAGAUGUAUUUAAGCGAAUCCCUCAUGGUUUUAUUGUUUUGGUUUUUUUUUAACAAAACGUUUUGGGAAUGGUAGAAGUUGCAGAAGUGUCAAUCAUUAUUCAUUUUUUGCCAUUAAGUUUAAUUCCUGCAAUGAUAUACAUGAAAUCUGUUUUUUAAAAAAUAACAAAGAAAUGCAAUUUUACUGCUAAUCUUGUUCUUAGGCCACUAAAAUAUGUGGAUCUGAUAUGAAAUAUCUGAUAUUAAAUUUACCAUAGGAUAGGAUCAAUGCAGUUUUUAAAAAUAAAGGAAGUGAUAUUCAACAGAUAAAAACAUGACAGUUACAAUGAAAGUCAGCUGAUUACUUUUCAUCAUGUGCCAAGGUGAAAUAUUAAAGAUUGUUUGUUCUCCAUUUCUGCAGUUUAAACAGAUUAGGGUGGAUUUUUGGUAUCUAUUGAAUUUGACGUAUCAGAUUGAUAAAAACAGCAGAGCAGAGAACAUCCAAUACAGGAAUCAGUCACCACAAAUCAAAUCUGAAGUGUGAGCUUAUUUCAAAUUCAGAAGGACCUUGUAGCAGUGAGGAUUCUGUCAGCUAUAUAAGCAUGACCUCAUUUUAUGCCUGCAGAGAAAAUACAAUCCUUCAAUUCUUGGAUAAUAGCAUUUAUUGUCAUUAUCUCUCUGCACCUCCUUUCCUAAAACCCAAGCAUCUUUAUAGUUCAUAUAUUCCGAAGAUGUUUAGCAUAGCAGGUAUAAUGGGCAAAUUUUAUUUCUGUUCUGCAAUAUAGCUGGAGUACCUCAUUAAAGUCCAGGUACAUUAAGACUAGUAAUAUGCUGCUUUAGAAUGCAUUUAAACAAGAAUUUGAAAAUUUGCUACUAUUAACCUUCAGUGGUAAUGUUAUAAACUCCUUUGAUAGUUUACUGAUGGAUAGGUGAACCAAAGUACUGAUUUGUUAAGUGACUUAUUUAGUAUUCAUUAGUGGUAAUGCUGGAAUAGCUAUGAUCUGUUUACUUAAAAAUGCAAUCCUAUUGAUACCAGCAGAAUUUUUGCUAUUGUCUUCAGUGGGGCAAAAAGUGCCUUAAUGGUCUAGAUUUCUGCUGCUUCUAAAUACUGUUUUUUUCCUGUUUAAAAAAAUGGUGAAAUAGAACCCUGUAUAAAGGGAAUUGAGGCAUUAUUUUAAUAUAGAUAAAAUAAAUCUGUAUUAUUUGGAAUUUAAAAAUGAAUGUGUGAAAUAACCAACAUUACUGCAGUGAUAACAACCUGUUUCUUCAGUUAACUAUGCAAUUGAUCACGAUAUGGAAGAGAAGAUCAAUAUCCUGCAAGUGUAGAAGUCAGAUAUGGAGUUUCUUAAUGGAGAUAAAAUACCAACAUCCACUAUGCAUUUGACUAAAGUCUAGAGAUGGGUGGAGGAGAAGAGACAGGAACACAAAGUCUAAGAUCAUCGACAAAGUAAUAUGAACAGGAGACAGAGACAUUCCAAGAAGCCAAGUUAAACAUCUUAAAUCAGCAUUAAGGUAAAUGGAUUUUAAAAAAUAGAGAGGGAUAGCUAACACUCUCUAGUUUCUGCGAUGUUAAAUGAAACCAAAAGCUGGCAAUGGAAUGUGGAAGGGUCCUUAGGAAGAGGGUUACAGCAUGGAAGACUGGAUCAACUUUUGUGAAAAUGGUUUUUGCAGGAACUAGAUGAGGCCUAUUUUCAUCUCUCCUUUCUGAAGGAAAAACCUAUGAUAGUCUGGGGCUUUAAUUACAUAUAUUAAUGGUCCAAAGUAAAGUUCUGAAUAAUGAUAAAAACUAUACCUUAAGCUCCUGGAAAGAUAACUUAUUUCAGAUUUACUGCAGCAGGCAUUAACUUUUAAUGCACACUUAUUCCUCAGGCCUUUUUCUACAGUAUUUGUUAUUGUAUACUCAACACGUUACUGUAAGCAAUAAGGAGUUUUUAAACUGGUAAAGUUAAACAUGUCUUUCUUGCCACACCAGUACACUCUUCAAGCCAAAAGUUUAGUUGCAAAUUGUUCUUGCAAAUCAAAACCUAAUUUUUUUGAACUAUAAAGACAUUUCAAAUGCAGAAGAAAGGAAAUCACAAUUUGCUGAGUAGAUGUAGGCUGUAUAUAAUCAGAAACAGUAUAAGGGACUGACAUUUCCUUGUUCUGUGGCUCCACUCUGGUAAUAUUACUACUUUAAUGUGACUUGUAACAAAAGCAAAAACAUAUUAAAGUAUUUUUACUUUAAGACGGCAACACUGAAGAAACUAAAAUGGAAAAUCUGUUGUUAAAGUACUCAGUAAAGACCAGACUAAACACUUUAGACAAACAGCACAGAUUACAUGCUGUAUGUUCAAGCCACUCCAAGUAAAAACAAGCCAAGUGUAGACAUAAGGAAAGGCAAAGGAAUGGAAAAAAACCCCAACCCAAACCAACAACAUAUAUAAUAGAUGAUUAUGGUGUUGUUUGAAAAAGCUGUGUGAAAAUUUGCAAAAAAAGGACACAAUUACUUGAAGGAACCUCUAUUACAGUGAUUAUAAUUUUCUCUUCAAAAAUCCUUCCUAUUUGAAUCAAAUCCCUCCUAUUUACAGUGUUAACUGUGGUAGUGAGAAAUCUGCCAGUGCCCAAAUUAGUCUGGUAUUUUCAUGGUGUCAAAUACUGUAAUAUGGACAAUUGGCAAAGAAUGACAUAGUUUCAUGCGUAAAGUGCCAGCAGCAACACCCGUCUAGCAGUGCAAUUUAAUGGAGGCUAUCAGACUAGAGCACACUGGAAAACUCUUCCUCUUCUUUUUUUUUUUUUUUUCUGGCAACCUUAAAAAUAUAAAGACACAGUCAUUACACAGGAAUUUACAUGACCCAUUUUUCCAAACGUAUGAUUAACACAUUGCCAGCAUCACACCCUUAAAGAAAAACGAUUUUGUUUCUGAUACUUGUUCAGACACUGAACACAUGAAGUAAGGGAACAGUUCCUGGUACAUGCAUGAAACUGUCACUUGACACCACUUGCACACACAAAUUCCGAUCAAGGCAAAUUUUCCUCCAGAUUUUUUGACACAUAUAAUGGCAGUGUAUUGAAUAAUUAUUUAUUUUGCUUUGUGAGUCAUGGCAAGAGACAGCUUUUUUGAGGUUUACGAGCACAUCCCCUGCAUGAUUAUGUAUAGGUUUUUUGAAUUGUAUUAGAAGGGUAAAUGUUUGUCCUUGUUUAUUUAAAUAUUGCCCACUAUGUAGCUACAAGAUAAGUAUUGAAAUGGCAAAGUCACAGGCAAACUAGCAAUGCCUAAAUCAGUUUAUUUCCUAAAACAUUAAAUGUUUUGAAUACAAAUUUCAAAUUUUCUUACAUUACUCUUAUUGAGGAAUAUAUACAUUGAGAAAUCCUACGUAAAAAACCUAAUUUUCCUUUCUGUUGUGCUACCAAAUAGUCAGCACUUUGGGAUGAUCCCUACAAGCUCUAGACAAAUUACCCCAAGCAACCUUCUGCAGUUUUCACAGGACAACUGUGUUGAGCUACCCGUGCGUACAUAGUUCACCCUAAAACCAAAUAUUAUUUUUGCACUUGCUUAUUCAUUUAUAAUUAAGUUACAUCUAUAAUGGAAACAAUUGGGUCCCAGUGGCAGAUGGAGGCUCUCCAGCAGGCCUAAGGAACCAGAAGUGGGAGUACUUGUGAUUAAGACACAAAGCUGGCCAUGACUUCUUGGUCCUUCUUGUGAGCAUCUAAGAUUAGGUGCUAAAUAAGCAGACCUUUAGUAAUCUUCGGAAGGCCACAUCUUCCAUGUUUCCCUCUUUGAAGGAAAAUGAAGGACAAAUGAGGCUCAGGGAUGCCACCUCUUUUGACUGGGAUGAAUCACACCAUGAGAGAUCUGUGGGUUGGGAGAAAACCUUACUCCCCUUGAGGAGGACCAGGCACAUAAGCAUGUUUUGUCUCAAACAUGGGAAAAUGCUUCUCCCCUUUCACAGAGCGUCCUGUUUCUGUUCCCUAGGGAAGAUCACAGUGGGACAUCUCCAGCAAAUGUCCUCCUGAGGCACUGUGCCCAGAUGGGAGGUGGUUGCAUGCAGAUGGCAGGGAGGUAUCUCAAGAAAUGGGGCACUGGAAUCCAUCUCCUGAAAGCUGCAUGUACAAGCAUGAUGUAGUGGAGACCCUGCCUAUUAGGCAGGGAGACAGAGCUGACAAGAAUGCCUAUGGCAAUGUAAUAAAAUCCUAUUUUCAGAGAUCAGUAAUGUUUAAACUUCAUAUGUAAUUUUACAACUAUAUUUUAAAGCCCAUUUGGUGACCGUGAAAUUUCUCAGAUCAAUGAAAUUCUAUAAAAACGACAGAAAAGUUCUCCCAGUAAAAUCUUCUCAUCUUGAGUGUUGUUUGACUUUUGCUUGGUUGUUUUUUAUUUUCUGUUUUUAAAAUAACUUUAAGAGCUCUGCUCCUAAAACCCUUUUGCUCCUUGUACACCAACACGUGUUGAUAAAUUUAAUUCAAUUCUUGUUCUCUUAGUUCUUUUCAUGGUGACUUCACAGCAGUUCUAAUUUAGGGCUAUUUGCCAUCAUUACAGUCCAUCAAGAGCACAUCUCUUUUCUGUCAUCUUUCCAUAACCUUCCACUGUCCAUCUCCAACAAGUGUCCAUUGCUUGUUGGAGAUAACGAAGCUCUCUCCUCCCUAAUCAGCUGUUUCUCUAUUCUGCUGCAGCUCGUAAUUUCCACAGCAAUCACUGAUGCCAGAUCCCACGACACUACUCAGUUUGCUUAAAAACUCUCGUCCGCCGUUUACAUGUUAUUUCCCCUUCAGUAUGAGCCUGCAGACCCACAGCAGCAUUCCAGACUAUGGCACCUACCUCUACCCAGCGUUAAAAACUACCUAGUAAAACUGGGCAGCAGCAGCAGAAACGGAACACUCACGCUUUUUGUUACAAGAGUGAAACCUGCCACUACACGGCUGAGAGAUGUCACCGUGCUAGCUGUCGACGAUCCCGCGCCGUUCCUGACCUCACCGUACCGUACCCAGCAGCGCGGGUCCCACCACACAGCUGUGCCCUCCCGGCACGCUGGUUGCCCAGCCGGCUUGCAAGGCGGCACGGCCCUCAGGCCCCAGCCCUGAGCCCUGAGGCCUCCGCUGGCCGGGGCGGGGCCGCGGGCGGGCAGGGGAAGGGG